ACGGGUUUACUUCAACGGUAGAAUACUGGUCUCCAAAACCGGUGGUGUAGGUUCGAAUCCUGCAACCCGUG
rnacentral:tRNA from 1 species